AUUCUUGCGCAUGGACUAUACAACAGGGCGUGACCGAUAAGGGAUCCGUUGUUUUUGCUUUUUGCAAACUUUUCCAUAACUCCACUUGACGACAUUUGUCGGCAAGUAAUUUUUGUUCUUUUUUUUAUCAACAAAAA
rfam:Polysphondylium pallidum PN500 unplaced genomic scaffold PPL_scaffold8, whole genome shotgun sequence.